rnacentral:lncRNA from 1 species
AGGAGCCCUGGGUGAAGGCGACAGCAUCUUCCUCCCCAGUUCGUGCCCCACCCCCACCCCUGCCCCAGCAUCCACAGAGCCCCAGACCACAUGCAGUGCAUUCCAAGCAUGGUGAAGACCCCAUCAGCAUCCCCAGACCAUGGGAGGAAGGGAGGAAGAGCUCCCACAAGGGGUCCGGGGUAGUCGGUGUUGGAGGGGAUGACAGGCGCCGGCGACAUGGUGUCGAAGGUGGAGCUGGGCUGUGCGUAGGGAGAGUGGGUAGGCACGCUGGCGGCGUGCUCUGGGGUGUAGGGGCUGGCCGAGGCCGCGCGGCUGCUCAUCUGGUCCAUGGUGCUGCUCAGCAGAUUGAACUGGGCCUGGCGCGGGAAAGGGGAGGAGGGAGGGGGAAACACACACAGUCAGUCGUCCUGUCCCGUCUAGGAGGUGUCCUGUUCCCAGGCUCAGCCCCUUCCUGCACCUCAGCCUUCUCCAUCAGAGGUGGUUGGGUUUAGUGACCCAGAGGCCCUUGGCUCUGCAGGUCCUAGGACACACAUCCACUGAGGUUCCUGACGAGGGCCGCAUCCCCCGGCCCCUCCAGCAUCCAAUGGAGAAGGACGCCAGGCAAGUCCGGAGUUUGCAUCCUCUCUGAGUCCUCUACUGAGUCCUCCACUGAGUGCCGUCCAACGUGGAGGCAGCUCAGCCUGGGAUGCCGGAGGGGCAGGAGGCAGGGGACUGCUGCUCACCAGGCCUCAGGUGUUCUCUUUCGUCACCCAGUUUGAGCAUCUUUCUAGCCAUUCUCCGGAAGAGCAGGC